GGACUACAAGGGUAUCUAAUCCUGUUUGCUACCCACGCUUUCGCGUCUCAGCGUCAGAUAAUGCCCAGUAAGCUGCCUUCGCCAUGGGUGUUCCUCCUGAUAUCAACGCAUUUCACCGCUACACCAGGAAUUCCACUUACCUCUGCAUUCCUCAAGUCUGCCAGUAUGCGAAAUAGUUUCCGAGUUGAGCCCGGAGAUUUAGCUUCACACUUAACAGACCGCCUACACGCUCUUUACGCCCAGUAAAUCCGGACAACGCUUGGACCCUACGUCUUACCGCGGCUGCUGGCAC
rnacentral:rRNA from 1 species